GACGAACGCUGGCGGCGUGCUUAACACAUGCAAGUCGAACGGAAAGGCCCUGCUUUUGUGGGGUGCUCGAGUGGCGAACGCGUGAGUAACACGUGAGUAUCCUGCCCUUGACUUUGGGAUAACUUCAGGAAACUGGGGCUAAUAUCGGAUAGGAGCUCCUGCUGCAUGGUGGGGGUUGGAAAGUUUCGGCGGUUGGGGAUGGACUCGCGGCUUACCAGCUUGCUGGUGGGGUAGUGGCUUACCAAGGCUUAGACGGGUAGCCGGCCUGAGAGGGUGGCCGGCCACAUUAGGACUGAGGUACGGCCCAGACGCCAACGUGAGGCAACGGUGGGAAGUCUUACACAGUGAGCGGGAGCGUGAGACAGCGGCGCCGCGUGCGGGAUGACGGCCUUCGGGUUAUAAACCGCUUUCGCCUGUGACGAAGCGUGAGUGACGGUAAUGAGUAAAGAAGCACCGGCUAACUACGUG
rnacentral:rRNA from 1 species